AUUUAUUACUGAAUGUUAAUUUUAUGAGUUUUUAUUAAAAGUGUUUCAGUUUCGCUGGAAUUUAUAUGUUAGCGGAAGUUUUUAAGACAAUGUAUCUAAGUUUUUGUUUUGGAAUCAAAAAAUUGGAUAGUUGUAUUUUCUCUCUUUGGAUCUAUCCAUCCUCUUAUAAUAAUUUGAGAACAUAAAAUUAUCAAAGAAAUCUUUUUGGAUUUAAUAACGAUCGUAAUUUUGGGUUUGCCAAAAUAAUCUGUUAGGAAAUGAGAAAACUAACUACCAUAAUACACUAAGUUUAUCUAUAU
rnacentral:lncRNA from 1 species